rnacentral:rRNA from 1 species
UACGAAGGGGGCUAGCGUUGCUCGGAAUCACUGGGCGUAAAGAGCUCGUAGGCGGUGUGUCACGUCGGCCGUGAAAACCUGCAGCUUAACUGUGGGCGUGCGGUCGAUACGGGCAGGCUCGAGUUCGGUAGGGGAGACUGGAAUUCCUGGUGUAGCGGUGAAAUGCGCAGAUAUCAGGAGGAACACCGGUGGCGAAGGCGGGUCUCUGGGCCGAUACUGACGCUGAGGAGCGAAAGCGUGGGGAGCGAACAGG